rnacentral:tmRNA from 1 species
GGGGUAGUAAAGGUUUCGACGGGGAUUUUGAAGCUGGAGAAGCUAUCCGCAGGCGGAUGCGUCAAAUCGCAAAAUUAAAUAUAAACGCUAACGAUAACGAAGUAGCGCUUGCUGCCUGAGUGCAGCUGUCUGACCUGAAGCACUCACACUUCGGGACCCAGACAUCGAUCCUGUGAGAAACGACACAUGCAAAGCUUUGAGCAUGCGGGCGUACCAUGAAGCUACUGAAACCGGAAGGAUGUUCAUUUUCGUCCGGCGGAGGGAAUGAAAAAUAAUGAACUACGAUAGUAGAAGGACAGGGGAUAGAUUUUCGGACACGAGUUCGACUCUCGUCUACUCCAU